GGGUAUAUAGCUAAGUGGUAGAGUGUGCGCUUAGCAUGCACAAGGUCCUGGGUUCAAUCCCCAGUACUUCUG
rnacentral:tRNA from 1 species